CGCGACCGUGCGCGCCUGCUCCCUCGCGCCCGCCUACCGGUGUCGCCCCUGGCCGCGCGGCCUCGCUGCCUCGCCACAGCGGGUCGACGGCGCACCACCGCCUGCCGGCGGCAGCCCGGCUCCCUCGACGAGCCAGCCCAGGGCGGCGCCCGCGACCGUGCGCGCCUGCUCCCUCGCGCCCGCCUACCGGUGUCGCCCCUGGCCGCGCGGCCUCGCUGCCUCGCCACCACGGGUCGACGGCGCACCCCCGCCCGCCGGCGGCAGCCCGGCUCCCUCGACGAGCAGCCCAGCGGCGUCUCCAAGCAGUCCCCAGCACGCCGCGCUUCGUUGGCCGCGUGAAUACCGCGAGCAGCGAUCCAAUCACCAAGUGCUAAGGUUUGCCCGGAUCUCUCGAUUGAGCCUAGACUCCUCUCCCCCCAAAUCGAUUUUGUUGUUCCCUAAUCCGCCCAAAUCGAUUCCUAAGAGGAACGAGUGCGGACGAGCUGCAUACUUGCUGGAUCGGCCUCAGCACUGCAUCAGAGAAAGGGGGAUCGAUCUGUGCCAGUGCCAGCUGCAUACUUGUUUUGGUUCUGACUUUGAUUUAUUAAUCAAAAUGAGGUAGCUUGUAGUGAUAUGGUCCUGCGGCAUUAUGUAAGUUCAGAUUAAGAUAGGUUAUUAUCGUUGGUGGCUUCUGCAGACUGAAAUUGUAUGAUUGCAGUUUUGUUCAAUUUCAGAAAAUAGAAGUUCUGAAAAUAGCACGUUUGUGGUUCUUCAAUUCAGAAAUUAUCUAAUUUGUAGGUGUAGUUAUUCGUGCAAUUUCUGACAAUAGACUGAAAUUGGAUUUUAUUUGCUUUAUACCCGCAACUGCAAAUUUUCUUGGUCAUGGUCGAACACUCACUGACCUUUUGGGAAAUAUGUAGUUUGCAGGAAGAAGCUAGAUCAGUUGGCCUUCUCCGAAGUAAAAGAUUGGCAAAUUUUCUUGGUUGUUGCUGCGGGUGUACCGGCACCGCGUCGCCUCACCACUGCACCGACCCACCACGGCCCCGCUAGCCUGACUCCACCACCACCUAAGGUGAAACCUCUCUCUUCGUAUCAUGUUUGUAGUUCACGUAACCUAACUAGGUGUUUCCCAUUCGAAAGAGAUACGAUUAUUAAUAUGCAUAUCUAUGCAUAUCUAUAACCGUAUAUGUUUCGAAUUGUCCAUGUUUCUUUGGACAGCUCGAGGAUGCGUAGAUGGGGUUAGUUUCCAUAGUCUGCUCUAAUCCGAGGUAGAGUUUUGGCAUCAUCUCCCUGUUGUUCUCCGGAUACACAAUCUCCCUACCGGGACGUGUAUUUGGAGAACAGCGGGGAGGUGCUGCCGAAAUUGUGUCUCGGAUCAGAGUAGACUAUGGAAACUAACUCCAUCUACGCAUCUUCAGGUGGGAUUAGGACCUAUCCUAACCUAUUAGAUGGUAGUAACAUCGUGUAGAUGCAAUUGGUGGUUAUAUUACUCUAUGAUAUAUAUAUGUCAGAGAAUGGAUGACCGUGAGUGGAUGUACACGGGCCGCUCAAGUCCAACUGAUUUCUCUUUAGAAUGGAUUGAGAAGAUCGAUGCUUUCUUGGAACUAGCAUUUGACAAGGCUAAAGGAGCUCGUGCCACUUGGUGUCCCUGCAGCAGAUGUGCAAACAUAAAACGACAAACAAAGGUGGACAUGGGUAAACAUCUCUGCAAGUAUGGAUUUACGGCAAACUAUACCCGAUGGAUCUACCAUGGUGAAGCCGAUCGUAUGAGAGACGAGGUUGUGAGACAACGCCUCGAGCAGUAUGAUGCUGAUGGCGGGGUAGGAGGCAUGGUAAAUGAUUGGCAUGAAGCACACUUCGCUGAAGGAUGUAGGGAGGAGGAGCCAGAGGCAACCGCAAAGGCGUAUUAUGACAUGUUGUCUGCGGCACAGAAACCCCUUCAUAGCCAGACAAAUGUUUCUCAGCUGGAUGGCAUUGGACGUGUAAUGGCCUUGAAGUCCCAGUGUAAUAUGAGUCGAGAUGCCUUUGAUGCUAUGUUGACAGUUUUUGGCAGCAUGCUUCCGGAAGGUCAUAUUCUGCCAAAGAGCAUGUACGAGUCCCAGAAAGUCCUUCGUGCACUUAAGAUGCCAUAUGAGCAGAUACAUGCUUGUCCUAAGGGGUGCAUCUUAUUUAGGAAAGAACACGCGGAAGCAAAGUAUUGUUCAAAGUGUGGAUCCUCUAGGUUUCUGGAGGUAGACUCUGGUGAUGGUCAGAAGAGACAGCUUACGAUCCCCGUGAAAAUCCUACGGUACCUUCCGUUCAUACCGAGGAUUCAACGGCUAUACAUGACUGAGGAAACUGCAAAACAGAUGACAUGGCACAAAAAUGGUCUUCGAUAUAAUCCUGAAAAGAUGGUACAUCCAUCCGAUGGUGAAGCAUGGACCCACUUUGAUGGGAUUCAUCAUGAGAAAGCUCAAGAGGCCCGUAAUGUUCGUGUUGCUCUGGCAACAGAUGGGUUCAAUCCGUAUAGAAUGAUGGCGGCCCCAUACACUUGUUGGCCGGUGUUUGUUAUCCCUCUCAAUCUUCCCCCUGGCGUCGUCUUUCAACGACAAAACAUAUUCUUGUCGUUGAUAAUUCCUGAACACCCGGGGAACAAUAUGGGUGUGUUCAUGGAGCCUGUGAUUGAUGAAUUGGUCUGUGCUUGGGAGGAAGGGGUUUGGACAUAUGACCGAGCUACAAAGAGAAACUUCAAAAUGCAUGUUUGGUAUCAUUACUCCCUACAUGACUUUCUAGCGUAUGGGAUAUUCUGUGGCUGGUGUGUUCACGGGAAGUUCCCAUGCCCAGUAUGCAAGACAACUCUGCAGUUCUUUUGGUUGAGGAAGGGUGGCAAGUUUUCCUCAUUCGAUAAACAUCGACAAUUCCUCCCUCUUGACCAUGCAUUCAGACGAGACAUCAAGAACUUUACCAAAGGUGUCAUAGUUACAGACCCUGCACCACCGAUGUUGACCGGUGCUGCGGUCCGUGCUCAGGUAGAUGCUCUCGAGGUAAAUAACCAAGAACGUGGUUUUGUGGGAUAUGGGGAGCAACAUGCAUGGACUCAUAAGUCGGGCUUGUUGAGGCUCCCCUAUUUUUUUGACCUUCUUCUCCCACAUAACAUUGAUGUAAUGCACACAGAAAAGAAUGUUGCCGAGGCACUUUGGGCAACAAUCAUGGACAUUCCUGAUAAGACAAAGGACAAUGUUAAGGCUAGAGUGGAUUUGGCAACAUUAUGCGAUAGACCAAAGCAAGAAAUGCAGCCUCCUAGAGGCGGCAAGACAUGGAGAAAGCCUAAGGCCGAUUUCGUCUUGACAAGGAAACAAAGGAGGGAAGUACUAGAGUGGUUCCAAACAUUAAUGUUCCCUGAUGGGUAUACGGCGAAUCUAAGGAGGGGAGUGAACUUAUCUACUAUGCGAAUCAAUGGGCUCAAAAGUCAUGACUACCAUAUAUGGAUUGAGCGGCUUCUUCCGGUGAUGGUUCGAGGCUAUGUCCCUGAGCAUGUUUGGCUAGUGCUGGCAGAGUUAAGCAAUUUCUUUCGCCAGCUUUGUGCCAAGGAGUUACCUCGAUCCGUGAUUGCAGACUUGGAAAGAAUGGCACCUGUGUUGCUCUGCAAGUUGGAGAAGAUCUUUCCACCUGGCUUCUUCAAUCCGAUGCAACAUUUGAUUUUGCAUCUCCCGUAUGAGGCACGAAUGGGGGGGCCCGUGCAGGGCCGUUGGUGUUAUCCAAUUGAGAGAUGUCUAAAGGUUCAUCGAACUAAAUGUAAAAAUAAAUGCAAAAUAGAGGCUUCCAUUGCAGAGGCAUACAUUCUGGAGGAGGUGUCAAACUUCACAACAGCAUACUAUGGUGACAACCUUCCUAGUGUGCACAAUCCGCCCCCUCGCUACAAUGCUGAUGAAAAUGAAUCGACUCUUAGCCUUUUUCAAGGUCAACUCGGAAGUGCAAGUAAUGCGACCCCUAAGACCUUGAAAUAUGAGGAGUGGCGCAUUAUCAUGCUAUAUGUGUUGCUCAACCUUUCAGAAGUGGACCCAUACAUUCGGUAAGUUGUCAACAAACUUGUUCUUAGGUAGUCACUAUUCCCCAUCCAACCCCCUUGUUUCCUCGUUGGUGCAGGGAAUUUCAUCAACAAUUCUGGCGUAGAUCAAGGGAACCUACCUUGCAAGAAUCUGAGACCCUUCUUAGGCAGGGUGCGGGAAAUGGUCGGCCUGAUUUCAUUUCUUGGUUUAAACAAAAGGUAUAUACUACUCGACUCUUAGUUUGUCAUUACAAGUUGCUCGUACGUGCAAAUCAUAUAACAAACUAUCCUGCUUGAGCUUGCAGGGCCAAACCGAUGCGUCUAUGAGUGCCGAGUUGAGACAGGUUGCCGAUGGCUGUGCCUAUAGGGUGAGGUCAUUUACUAGUUAUGACGUCAAUGGAUACCGCUUUCACACAACUAGACACGAGCAGAGUCGGCCCAAUCGAAGAACCACAAAUACUGGAGUUUGUACGACUGGCAAUGAUGGGGUUGAGUAUUAUGGAAGAAUUGAAGAAAUAUAUGAACUCAACUUUGGUGGCUGUAUACCUCUUAAUCCUGUCAUAUUCAAAUGCCACUGGUUUGAUCCUGAAGUAACAAGACGGACCCCUAAUCUUGGGCUAGUUGAAAUUCGACAGUCAUCAGUCUUACCAGGAGAUGAUGUCUAUAUUGUGGCUCAACAGGCCACACAAGUCUAUUAUGUACCAUACCCGUGCAAAACCGCUGACCAUCUUAAGGGUUGGGAUGUUGUGUACAAGGUAUCACCACAUGGUAAACUACCUGUCCCAAACAAUGAAGAUUACCACUUUGACACAAAUACAUAUGACGGAGAGUUCUUUCAAGAAGAGGGGCUAGAAGGGAGUUUUGUGAUAGACUUAACCGAAGUGGUCGGAAUGGAAGUAGACAAUGAAAGGGUUGAUCAAGAGGAUGCUUUUGAUGACGUUCAAAAUGUGAAGGACUUAGAAUUACUUGAGCGAUUACAUUUAGGCAAUGACAAUGAUAACAACCUUCCUCCUUCAGAUAGUGGUGACUAUAUUGACAUGGCUGAUAGUGAUGAUGAGACUUAUGAUCCAGCUAAUCCCGAUCAUGAUGAUUAUUUCUAAUACAUGUAAUACUAUGCCAUUUUGUAAUUAUGUUUUGUUUAUUUUGCAUCUCUUUCUAAGUAUGUCUUGUUUAUCUGUGCUUAUUGGUUUACUCUUUUUAGUUACAGGUUAUUGAACAAGAUGGUGGGUGGUAUGAGGAAAGUCAGGUCGGUGUACCAGAGACCGCCUGCAGCAACUGAGCAGUCGGGGAGCAGGAGGAGGAGUAGCGGGACGAGGAGGAGCAGGAGUUUGAGCACCCUUGAGCGGGAGCGGGAGCGGGAGGAGGAGCGGCAGCGGCAGCGACUGAGG
rnacentral:lncRNA from 1 species